CUGCUCUCAGGCACCACAACUGUGUCCUCUUCUGGGGCUGUGGUGCUGCUCUUUGUCUGUUCUGGGGCACAAGGAUUGUAGAGGUCACCUCGGACUAGAGAGUUGCCCCCAAAAAUAUCCAGGUGUCCCUCUGCCUCAGUCCGAAGUACAGUGUGGGGAGGUCAGAGUGAUUCCCCAACUCUCAGUCUUGUGUGGGUCUCUAUGGAGAGUUUGAAUGUCUCUGAGGGCUCUCACUAACUCACCCUUUCCUGGUCGGAGAGGUUCUCUUGGCUCUGUACGGAGGCCAAACAGGGAGAGGGCAGAGAGGAGCAAAGCUGGGCACCAGCCUAUCUGGGCCCAGUGCAGAGCCAGGACAAUCUCUCCAACAAAGGAAACAUACUUUGAAUCUGAGGAUGCUGAACCCAUGGAUAAGGAGGCUGUACUUUUCUUGGAUAAAUGCCCUUCAUUAGAAGAGUGUGUUAAACAGAAGCUCAGCUCCUUCAAGGGUGACAGUCUUGGCUACCCCAGCAGUUACUCAAACAGAUCAAGACGCAUGGAAUGGCAGAAACCUUCGGGUCUUCACUAAAGGAGCACACGGUACAGGGAUACAGACACAGGUGUCUCGAAAUGAAGAGAGGUGAGAAAGGGAACAAGACACAGAAUUUGACAAUACCAAUAAUUCGUGUGUAAGGCUGUUUUGUUGAAAGCACAUCCCGGAGCCCGUGGAAACCUGAGGAGGGAAGUAUUAGGUGUGUUUCAUACCUGGCAGCGGACGAUUUCACGACAGGCUGGCUGCAAAGAGGUAUGUGCCAGCAUUUGUUAUCUUGGAGUGUCUUGUCCUGAGUGCUCUUGAUCACUGCUGGUCUGCCGUCUUCCACAGGUCACCAAUCGGUCAUCUCUGAUUAGGAAGACACUGCCAAUAAAUGAGAUGAUUGUCUAGUUUGGUCA
rnacentral:lncRNA from 13 species